rnacentral:tRNA from 1 species
ACCUUCGUGGUGUAGUGGUCAGCAUGUUCGGUGUGUAUUCGAGAGGUCCGUGGUUCGAGUCCUGGCGAGGGCU